rnacentral:rRNA from 1 species
GACGAACGCUGGCGGCGUGCUUAACACAUGCAAGUCGAGCGGUAAGGCCCUUCGGGGUACACGAGCGGCGAACGGGUGAGUAACACGUGAGCAAUCUGCCCUUCACUUUGGGAUAACCACCGGAAACGGUGGCUAAUACCGGAUACGACCAUCCCAGGCAUCUGGUGGUGGUGGAAAGUUCUGGCGGUGGAGGAUGAGCUCGCGGCCUAUCAGCUUGUUGGUGGGGUAAUGGCCUACCAAGGCGACGACGGGUAGCCGGCCUGAGAGGGUGACCGGCCACACUGGGACUGAGACACGGCCCAGACUCCUACGGGAGGCAGCAGUGGGGAAUAUUGGACAAUGGGCGAAAGCCUGAUCCAGCAACGCCGCGUGAGGGAUGACGGCCUUCGGGUUGUAAACCUCUUUCAGUAGGGACGAAGCUAACGUGACGGUACCUACAGAAGAAGCACCGGCCAACUACGUGCCAGCAGCCGCGGUAAUACGUAGGGUGCGAGCGUUGUCCGGAAUUAUUGGGCGUAAAGGGCUCGUAGGCGGUUUGUCACGUCGGGAGUGAAAACUCGGGGCUUAACCCCGAGCCUGCUUCCGAUACGGGCUGACUAGAGGUAUGCAGGGGAGAACGGAAUUCCUGGUGUAGCGGUGAAAUGCGCAGAUAUCAGGAGGAAUACCGGUGGCGAAGGCGGUUCUCUGGGCAUUACCUGACGCUGAGGAGCGAAAGUGUGGGGAGCGAACAGGAUUAGAUACCCUGGUAGUCCACACCGUAAACGUUGGGCGCUAGGUGUGGGACUCAUUCCACGAGUUCCGUGCCGCAGCUAACGCAUUAAGCGCCCCGCCUGGGGAGUACGGCCGCAAGGCUA